GACGAACGCUGGCGGCGCGCUUAACACAUGCAAGUCGAACGGGCGUCUUCGGGCGUCAGUGGCGGACGGGUGCGUAACACGUGAGCAACCUACCUGGAGUUGGGGGAUAACCUCGGGAAA
rnacentral:rRNA from 1 species